rnacentral:ncRNA from 1 species
UAUAAAGGUACUACGUAAUGUAGUUUAAUAGGGAAGAUCGGUGUAAUUCCGACGCUGUCCCCGCAACUGUAAUGCUGACGAUGAUUCAUGACCACUGUGCUCUUGCUCGGGAAGGGAAUCGUAGAAUGAAGCGAAGCCAGGAGACCUGCCUGCAUAA